GUGAAUCAUCGAAUUUUUGAACGCAAAUUGCACUCUCUGGUAUUCCGGAGAGUAUGCCUGUUUGAGGGUCAGUUUAAAUAAAAAUCGGUGUGGUUGCUGCCUUUCGUGGUGACGUACCGGAUUUGGGUCGUCUUGCCCUCGGUUAAGUGACCUAAAUUUUGGAUUGUUUUUUCCGAAGUUAUUUAAUUGAUUUUAGUA
rnacentral:misc_RNA from 1 species